rnacentral:rRNA from 1 species
UACAGAGGAGCCAAGCGUUGUCCGGAUUGACUGGGCGUAAAGCGCACGCAGGCGGCACCGCGCGUGGGGUGUGAAAUCUGGCCGCUUAACGGCCAGGCGCCAUCCCAUACGGCGGAGCUGGAGUGAUGCAGAGGUCGAUGGAAUUGCCGGUGUAGUGGUGAAAUGCGUAGAGAUCAGCAGGAACACCCAGGGGGAAACCAGUCGACUGGGCAUCUACUGACGCUGAGGUGCGAGAGCGUGGGGAGCGAACCGG